CAAUGUUGACAGGCUGGUCUCGAACUCCUGAUCUCAGGUGAUCCGCCUACCUUAGCCUCCCAAAAUGCUGGGAUUACAGGCGUGAGCCACCUGCGCCUGGCUGUUACUCAGCUUUAAUAACCAUCAACCUUUUGCCUGACUUCUUUAAUCUAUCCCCUCUCCUUUUUAAAUGCUUUUGUUGGAACAUUUUAAAGUAAAACUCAGAAACCAUGUUAUUUUACUCCAGGUACUUAAGAAAAAGGCACAGUAACCACAAUGUCAUUAUUACACUAACAGUAAAUCCUGAAUUUCAUCUAAGAUCCUGUCCAUCUUCAAAUUUUCUGAGUGUUCUUUUAAAAUUUAAUUAACCAAUAAAUUAAAACUUUUGACAAAAAAUGAGAAGUUUCUGAAAAUAAAAUCUCCUUUAGUUAUUGAAACAAAAAAUCUUGUGGUGUAUUAACGUGCAGGAAUUCAGUAUAGCAAAGUCAAUACUCCCCUUAGAUGAUGCUAAUAGUUUAUUUCAUAUUAUAAUUGUUUGUGGGAAUUGCAUCUCUGAGACCAAUACAUUCAUAUACCUCACACUUCCCUCUUCAGUCUUUGGUACACACUGUGGUGAUUAUUAUAAAUUACACUAAUAGCAAACAUCUUAUUCAGCAUUUACUGUGUGCCAAGCACUGUGCUUUAAGUGUAUUAUUUUAUAAGAUUCUUAAAACAACCUGACAGAUCGGUAUUAUUAUACCUACCGCCAAUUAAUUUAAUAACUUAACAAAGGUUUUAUAGCUAGUGUACAAGCUGAGAUUUAAAUUUAUGUCUCCUAACCUCUGGCUCUCCUGCCUUCCUGAGUAUGCUUUAAGACGCUGAUG